CAGCUACCUUCCUCGGAUGCAGUCGCAACUGCUGCUUCUCGUGAUGUCUCUUCGUUACCGGGUCGGCAUGGAUGGACACUCACAGCAGCCGGCUGCCCUACCCGAGGGACAGACCUGUCGCUCCGGCCAGCCUGGAGAAUGUGUGAGGUGAGUUUAGGUAGUGUGUGGAGCAGCGACGGAAUGAAUUGUUGGGGAAACAGGAGCACUCCAAGAAAACGUAAAGGCUACAGUUACUAUUUUACACUAAUGUUUUAUAUAUGCAAUCGAUAGAUUAUGACGAGAACUGAGGAUUGAAAAUGAAACGAAGGUCGUAUUUCUCUGAGUCAAACGUUAUACUAAAUGGAAUUUUUUAAACUCAGCAAAAUGACCUCUAAAUGAAGGCGCUUCCCCCUUCACCACGUGCGAUGCGUCACAGUCCUUCACUUAGCGUAUCGAAUUCUUUGAUUCUUUAGCUAUCCAGUGGUGUGAUUAAAUUUUGGAUGGAGAUUAUAGAUAUGUAGCUGCAAAUUCAAACUGUAUCCCCCGAGUUUGUUAUUAUUCGUAUUUUGAAUGGCCUCCCAAUAUAGAAGAAAUUUUAAAACAUAUUCAAGACCGCGGCCUUAGUGUCAUUAACUGUAGCUGCGGCCUUUCCUCGCACGACAGCCCCCCUCCCCUAGAGAGCUGUUGCUGGAGUCGCCCUUGUGACGAAUCACGGCGCGAGCUGCCUCGGCCCCGCCUCUCCGGGACUGGAGACUCCAGCUCAGCAGAGCGCGGCCCACGCAGUACAGCGGAGUCGCCAGAGACCAAGUGAAUGUGGUCCGCGGCGACCCCGGAUAAGGAAAAUCUCCGAUAACUCGGAUAGGAUAAUCUCGUCUUUCAGUCGGCACGACAUGCCAUUUAUUUCCUGGUGAUGUUUUACCAGCUUUUCUACUUUGUAUUUUAUUUCACGUCACUUCAUGACUUGCGCAAUUAAUAAAUGAAAUUUUUUUAGGUUACCUAACUGUUAGAUCGUUUUCUAGGUCCUUAAGAUAAUAUAGGUUGUCCAUAAAAGAAAGUCUUAGUGUAAAUGUUACAUUAUAUCAGUUAAAUUUCGAUUAAUUACAACAAAUCAAAAAACCAAUUUUAUAGGUGUACUAAACUAGAUUUUCCAUACAAAAUGUUCAAUAUUUCCAGAUUUAGCUAUAAGGCACACAUCCAACCUCAAGGCCAUUUCUUUCUACACUUGUUUAUCACAUCAGGAGUAAUGCUUCUUUAAUUCUGACUCUCAACUUUGGCAAAUCAUUAGGUAGCCUAAAAUGACACAUUUGUGUGGCAUUUUGUUAGAUGAACGUGAAGGCCAGCGAAAAAGAGCUAUGUCGACUCGCAUUGCCUAUACCAUAUUCUGGAUGUUUUUUUGGCCAACAUGGCGAUAUCACAAUAUAACUUUAAAAGAAACGCACGUUCAACUGAAAUACGGAUUCACUCUUAGUGAAUCGCAGGACACAAAACACAAAAACUAUUUACGCUCUGGGGUCGCGCCAUUUUGUGCAGGUGGCGCUGCAUGCGAGAAAACAAGAAGCUAUACUAGCGCAUGGGCUUGUCUAAAACUGUUUUGAGUUACUCUUCAAUUGUGACAUCGGACAAAACCUCUAUGAGCCCGUCUACAAUAGUCCGAACCUGUGCGUGGUCCGUGUCCUUAUCCGAAUGUGUGUGACGUCACAUUGUCUCACCGAAAACUACCCUGUCCACAAUUGCGAUGUCCGAUGUCUGCAUUAACUGAUUUCUAAAGUUGUCACCAGAGCGCAGUAAAUGUGCCAAACCAAAUGUUUUUGUUUAUUGUUUUUGAAGCUUUGUAGUUUGAGAUUGAACUUAUGAAAAUUGUGGGAGUUCAAUAUUAUAUAUUUAUUCAGUAAGGCAAAUUGGCAAAUGUAAAUGCUAAAAAAUGAACUCAUAUCACAUUUCAAACAGGAACCGGAAAUUCAAAUAUAGUGAGUGUUCUGUUCUCUUUCUGUGUCCGAAGUACACAGGUUGGGACAAAAAGUUCAAAUUGACGAAUGUCUUCCGACCAGGUAGGUUCGGACCUUCGCCCACUUGACGAAUGACGUCAGAGUGUCACGUGGACCAAUCAGCGACGAGUGUCCUUCGGACACAGUUUCGGACAUUGCUAUUGUAGACGGGCCUUAUAACACAUACAGUUGAUACUGUUAGAAUGAAUAUUUGGGACAGUUUCUUAUGGACACGGAGUGUUUGAAGAGUGUUUGCCGGUGAUGGCGCUGCGGGCGAGCUCGGGGCUCGGACUGACCUCUGCGCGGGUCCGACUUGAGGAUGCGGCGAGCCACCAGCAGCCAAUCAGGCAGCAGCCGCACGCACCAGACCGGAUACAGCCGAGCGGUACCCGAGCUGCAAACACAACAACUCUCUAUGCGCUCGACCGCACGGCACAGACCAACCACUGCAUCCCGUGACAGUCGCUGUCGUCAGCGACUGAACAAGCUGUUCCAAUUUCACACAAGUUUACGGACUUUUUAAUUGUGUUUUGCAAAAUAAAAGUCAGCAUAAACUAAACGAAUUGCUCUUCAAUGUUAGAGACCCGGUAUUUCAGGCACGUUAUUGUUUUGGUUGCAAGGAUAGACUGCAAACUCUGCAUUCCUUUAACGACUGUAUCACAAUGCUUUCGACACUCCUCUUUACAACGGUGGACCAGUUAACUUCAUCAUCGUGGAAAGCGAGGGCCCGAGUCACGAUGACCCAUUAAAAAGAAGAGGGAAAAAAGAAGGUUUCGCAGUAGCGAAUCAGCCAGUGGGCAAGCAAGUAGUGUAUUUAAGAACCUUCCCAAAAUUAAUUUUUGUAUUUUCCGGGUCACGAUGCAUGGUUCCGGAUGACUACACAUUCGUAAAAGCUACGCCGUCUUUCUAAUCCAGAGCAACAACGGACGUGGAAGGAAUGUGAGUGUUUUUGUUCUGGGUGUAAGAAGAUUUCGAACGUUCAAUAAAUAUCCCAGUUGAAUUUGUUAAGUCAGCUCUAAACUCACACAUUUACAAAUGUACAAACAGCCGUGGAUAAUUCGUGGCCAAGGUUCCUUGUCAGUUCCAGGCGAACACUCACAGCAGCGCGUUCGGAAUUGUUUUAUCUUUUGCUUGGAUUGCUUGUGGUGGUUGUCUCGUGUGACAGGCCUUCUGCACUCACCCCUGGGCCCUGUUCGCUACACGGGGCCGCUUCCUGGGCAGCAGCGGGACGUCGGAUUUCCUGUCAAUAUCCAGUUUCCGCUUCCGUGAGGCCGCAGCGACUUGCAGGUGGCCCCUGCAAGCAGCGGUCCAAACUAUGAGGAUCUGCGCAGCUACGGACCUGAGGCUCCUCCGCCUGCCCGCUCCGUCGUGGUCACUGGUGCCCGCCCGCUAUUCGCUGCGUCUACGAGGCCGCCCGCCUCUUUCGCUGUCUGAGUCCGUGGAUGCGUCCAUGCGACUCCGUCAUUCGGAGUUCCGAAUUAGCAUGCUGCUGUGCGGCUCUUCCCUGGCUCACCCUGAGGUGCCUACUUGAGUCGCCGCGGUUGAUGGAUGAUGUCCCUGGGUGAGCGAGUGGGCGGCUGCUUUGACGUGCUGGCGUGCCGGCGUGCUGGCGUGAGAUUCCAUUCCGCCAGUCUUGAGCUGAGAUGCAUGCCGCAUGCGAGCCUGCACGAUGCACGCAAUGGCAUCUGGAAGCCCUCGUCCCCUGUAAGCAUGCAACCCGCUCGACAGGGGAGCGAGGUGAAGAGUCGAACCUGCCAGGCGCCAUCGGCGUCAGCUGCUGUGGGGACGCCUGCGGCAGUUACGUCCGGAAUUGCGUCUGUCUGUCGACGUACGAGCUUUGGAGCUCGUUGCUACAAUUUGUUUCAAAAAUGAACUUUCCUGGGACGUCCCUCAAGAUCAAGAAAAGUCUUCAGCGCUGAAGAUGCUCCUUUUGGUCUUUGUAUUAGACCUAUGUAAUCCUUCAAGAAUCCUUGGCCAUUAUAUAUGGAGUGUAAACCUUGUAUGAUAAUAAGUUUAGACUGACAGUUAAAAUUGUAAUCGCCAUGAAAUUGAACAGUGACUUUGUCUUGAAGAUGGAGAAGGCGGUGGGUACCGUGGUUUAAGGGCAGGGGAGAUGUAGCGGUUUGAACUGUGCGCGCCGCAUCGGCCUCCGCCACUCCGCUCCCCUCCUCCCCCCCUCCUAGUGGUUGUACUAUGUCUACUUGUUCACCCCCCCCCCCUCCUUGAUUGGCGCAUGCGCGCGCUGCGGCGCGAUGUUAUAAAAGGAGCUGCAAAUUGGUCAGGAGCCUCUUUCUUCCUUGAUUUUAGUCAGGCUCGGUUGUCAGCUGUUGUAAUCUACGAGCAUGUAGUCGGUUAGGUUCAGAUUGGAACUACGUGGGUGUGCGACCUCAGGGGAAAAUGUAAGUUGGUUUGAGUUGUGUGUAAGGCGGUGGCCCUUACCUUACUGUAGAGUCAUUUAUUCUUAAAUUGUUUUGUCUAAAUUCCUUUUCGGCCGCCACCUUGAAAAUUGUUUAUUUUGAAUUAAUGCAUUAAUGUAACUUCACUGUCAACUUGGUAUUUAUUGGUAACUGUCUCCCCCUGAGACGUCGUUGUACGUAUUUGAUUAAUUCUCAUUAAUGUAAAUUCCUUCUGUAAUUGUAACUGCACUUUGCAGGAGUUCUGACAAACGUAAUUAUGUAAAGUAUUUCCUUAAUCGUAACUGCACUUCGCAGUAGUUUUGUACAACGUAAUGAAUAUAACAUAUUUCUGUUAUUUUUUAAUUGUAACUGCACCUUGCAGCAGUUUGAAAAAUGUAAAAAUGUUUGGAUUUAACUGCAUACUUGCCACUGCCUUUGCUUCGCGUUAAAUGCGCGUUGUAUAAUGGGAUCGCUUACGGUGUAGCCGGCUUACCUUCGAAACCCGUUUUGUCUAUAAUCAUUGUUUUUGGUUUUUGUAUUUAGCCUUGCUUAAAUUGUAUUAAUUGAACUUCAUCAGUAACCUAAUGUUAUGAUUUAAUGUUUGAAUAAAAUGUCUGUGUACCUGA